AGAGUUUGAUCAUGGCUCAGGACGAACGCUGGCGGCGUGCUUAACACAUGCAAGUCGUAACGAUGAACCGGCUUCGGCCGGGGAUUAGUGGCGAACGGGUGAGUAACACGUGGGCAAUCUGCCCUGCACUCUGGGACAAGCCCUGGAAACGGGGUCUAAUACCGGAUACGACCGUUUGAGGCAUCUCAUGGCGGUGGAAAGCUCCGGCGGUGCAGGAUGAGCCCGCAGGCCUAUCAGCUUGUCUGGUGAGGUAUACGGCUCACCAAGGCGACGACGGGUAGCCGGCCUGAGAGGGCGACCGGCCACACUGGUGACUGAGACACGGCCCAGACUCCUUACGGGAGGCAGCAGUGGGGAAUAUUGCACUAAUGGGCGCUAGCCUGAUGCAGCGACGCCGUCGUGAGGGAUGCACGGCCUUCGGGUUGU
rnacentral:rRNA from 1 species